AUCGCUUUCUUUCUUGCUUCCCGUGUUUUCUUAAUUUUUGAUGUCAACAUUGAAUUUGACGUGCUUCGGUAUUGUUAAUUAAUUGGGGGAAAGGUAGGACACUUGAAGCAGCAUUGGGCACAUAUCUUAUUUUCCUUUGUGAUGAGCAGAAAACAUCAGCUAUGACUUUAUACAAGAACUUGUCUCGUCUUUUGACAUUUUUCUUUUCCUUGGCAUGGGAGUCUCGGUUAAAAUUGCCAGUUUUGUUAUCUGUCUGCUUUAUGGUGCUUGAUGUUCGAAUGCAUUUGGAAAUUAAUGUAAAUAUCGGACCCUAGAGUCUUAAUCAUAGGUGCUACAGGAUGGUUAGGACACAGAAGUGCCACAGCAUAUUAUUUUUUGUAUUACUGGAUGUUUAUGUUUUAUGAAGAAUGCUAAGUGAAUGCCACAGAAGAAAUCUCUUAGUGGACGCUAAAGUGCUAGAAAUGGGCAUGAUGAAAAAGUAAAACUGAAGUACAAGAUCAUAAAUGCAAAUGUUGACUAUGAUGCAAUAACCUGUUAUUAUCUCAACUUCUCCGCAUCUGCUGAAAAAGAAAGGAAAAACAAUAGAAAAACCCUUUUCUUUAAAUCUUUUAGAUAAUAAGACAUAUUACAGCAAACUUUGUAUUAUCUGCUGUGUUUUAACUCAAUUUAGAUAAACACACCCAUUUUAACUUUAAAAGUGAAAAACUUUAUUUCUAGAUAUUACUAUUUCUUUCUUCAUUUUCCCUUCAAGUGAUGUCAAACAUUACAAGGUCACCAAAAUCCGACUAGUUGAAACCUGUUUUUUAGAUCCAUACUAUACUUAAGUCCAAAACGAAUGACCAGUUUUGAUUGAACAAAACCUCUCCCCCAUUUCGGAAAUCAAACUUGAUAUGUUUGUAUGAUUUGCUGAAUAUGUGUGUAAUCGGUUGCAAUAAUGAGCAUUCCUUGUCUAGUUAUUACAUACACUUUUUAGCUGUAGUUAAAAUGUAUGCAAGUGUUAUUGAUUUUCUAAAACUGCUGCUUACAGUAGUAUCGUUUUAUUUUUUUUUAUUUUGUGAAUUAUCUGCAAAAUUCGCUUAUUUGCAAUUACCUUGCUUUGCUGCAGAUAAUCGGGGGAUCUUCACAUAAUGUCUCAGUAGUCUAAAGCAUGACUUUAAGUAGACUAUGGGUUUACCAGAUAAAGCAUAGCAAACUAUUUUGAACUCUCCCACUCCCCCCAAAAAUAUAAUUUUUUUUUCUUAAACUAGCAAGAGAAUAAGUAAAUGCAUUAUGUAAACACGGUUCUUAAUGCUUAGUUUCUUAUUGUAGCAUCUUAAACUAAGAUUUUGAAACUUAAUUCUAAUUAUCGUCUUUUGUAAGAUUUAAUAACAUUUGCUGUAUUAUAUUUUUCCAUACAUCCCAAAGAAGUGUGGUUAAACAUGAGGUUACUGUACUAGUUUUAUCUUUCUUUUCUUUAUAAAUGUUGAUUGAUUUUUUUCUUACAUUUUUACUAAGAAUGAUUUUAACAUUCAAUUCUAUUUUUAAAUUAUUAAUGAAUUAUUUUUUAAAGAUUUAGACUGAUAUAAGGGUUGUACUACUAAGAAAUGUAUCGAGCAAGAACUAAAACACAUUGUAGACAGGUCGCAAGAAUCCUUGCCCUUUCUUCAAUUGAUCAUAAGAAUUAUCAAAUUAUGUAAAUCUCAGCCCCAUGCCAUCUCUUGUGUUCUUUGUGAACUUUUUACUGGUUCUAAACAUUUUUAAUCUUGACUAAACAUUCUCUAAACACAUUGUCACAUAGUGUUUUGAUGAAGAUCAUUUAUUAAACUUGGUCUACAAUGUACUAAUAUGCCAGUAACAUCGAACUUUGAAUAAAAGUUAUUUUAUUA